rnacentral:lncRNA from 1 species
GUCCCGUAAGAGAUGGUCAUUAGGAUGCAGUUGUAUAAGACAGAUAUUUGGACCACCCUGAGGAAUUUGGAGGAUGAAGAGGAACCUGAAAUUGUAUCAAUGGUUUCUAAGCUCUGCUUCCAGAAUGAAGAAGUCCAACUCAUAUUUAAAAUGAAUGCCAAGGAAAAGGAAGAAUUUGUUCAGAGCUCAGGCAAUGAUGGUGUUGUGGUGUUUUCUCUUGGAUCAAUUCUCCAAAAUCUUUCAGAAGAAAAGGCUGAUAUUUUUGUUUCAGUCCUCACCCAAAUUCCACAGAAACUCAGUAUAAACUCCAAAUCUGAUAUAACCAUAAGAAAUGACAGAAAGAAACAGCAAAUGGGAAAAAGCAUUGCAUUGCACCAGGAUGUGUAUGAAAUGGACUUCAGUUUUUUUGCUGAUACAGCUGAGCUGUUACAUUAG